rnacentral:rRNA from 1 species
GAUGAACGCUGGCGGCGUGCCUAAUACAUGCAAGUCGAGCGAACAGACGAGGAGCUUGCUCCUCUGACGUUAGCGGCGGACGGGUGAGUAACACGUGGGUAACCUACCUAUAAGACUGGGAUAACUUCGGGAAACCGGAGCUAAUACCGGAUAAUAUAUUGAACCGCAUGAUUCAAUAGUGAAAGACGGUUUUGCUGUCACUUAUAGAUGGAUCCGCGCCGCAUUAGCUAGUUGGUAAGGUAACGGCUUACCAAGGCGACGAUGCGUAGCCGACCUGAGAGGGUGAUCGGCCACACUGGAACUGAGACACGGUCCAGACUCCUACGGGAGGCAGCAGUAGGGAAUCUUCCGCAAUGGGCGAAAGCCUGACGGAGCAACGCCGCGUGAGUGAUGAAGGUCUUCGGAUCGUAAAACUCUGUUAUUAGGGAAGAACAAAUGUGUAAGUAACUAUGCACGUCUUGACGGUACCUAAUCAGAAAGCCACGGCUAACUACGUG